UACGAAGGGGGCUAGCGUUGUUCGGAAUUACUGGGCGUAAAGCGCACGUAGGCGGAUUGUUAGGUCAGGGGUGAAAUCCCGGGGCUCAACCCCGGAACUGCCUUUGAUACUGGCAUUCUCGAGUCCGGAAGAGGUGAGUGGAAUUCCGAGUGUAGAGGUGAAAUUCGUAGAUAUUCGGAGGAACACCAGUGGCGAAGGCGGCUCACUGGUCCGGAACUGACGCUGAGGUGCGAAAGCGUGGGGAGCAAACAGG
rnacentral:rRNA from 1 species